GGAAUAUUGGUCAAUGGACGCAAGUCUGAACCAGCCAUGCCGCGUGCAGGAUGAAGCAUCUAUGGUGUGUAAACUGCUUUUGUACGAGAAGAAACAACUCCACGUGUAGAGUCUUGACGGUAUCGUAAGAAUAAGGACCGGCUAACUCCGUGCCAGCAGCCGCGGUGAUACGGAGGGUCCAAGCGUUAUCCGGAAUCACUGGGUUUAAAGGGUCCGUAGGCGGUUUAGUAAGUCAGUGGUGAAAGCCCAUCGCUCAACGGUGGAACGGCCAUUGAUACUGCUAAACUUGAAUUAUUAGGAAGUAACUAGAAUAUGUAGUGUAGCGGUGAAAUGCUUAGAGAUUACAUGGAAUACCAAUUGCGAAGGCAGGUUACUACUAAUGGAUUGACGCUGAUGGACGAAAGCGUGGGUAGCGAACAGGAUUAGAUACCCCUG
rnacentral:rRNA from 1 species